UGGGGAAUCUUGCACAAUGGGGGAAACCCUGAUGCAGCGACGCCGCGUGAGUGAUGAAGCCCUUCGGGGUGUAAAGCUCUUUCGGCAGGGACGAUAAUGACGGUACCUGCAGAAGAAGCUGCGGCUAACUACGUGCCAGCAGCCGCGGUAAUACGUAGGCAGCAAGCGUUGUUCGGAAUUACUGGGCGUAAAGAGUGCGUAGGCGGUUUGGCAAGUUUGGUGUGAAAUCUCCUGGCUUAACUGGGAGGGUGCGCCGAAAAACUGUCAGGCUAGAGCGUGGGAGAGGAAAGCGGAAUUCCUGGUGUAGCGGUGAAAUGCGUAGAUAUCAGGAGGAACACCUGCGGUGUAGACGGCUUUCUGGACCACUACUGACGCUGAGGCACGAAAGCGUGGGGAGCAAACAGGAUUAGAUACCCUGGUAGUCCACGCCCUAAAACGAUGCGGACUUGGUGUUGGCCCUUCAUUGGGUCAGUGCCGCAGUUAACGCGGUAAGUCCGCCGCCUGGGGAGUACGGUCGCAAGGCUGAAACUCAAAUGAAUUGACGGGGGUCAUAAACUGUUUCCUG
rnacentral:rRNA from 1 species